GACGAACGCUGGCGGCGUGCCUAAUACAUGCAAGUAGAACGCUGAAGGAGGAGCUUGCUUCUCUGGAUGAGUUGCGAACGGGUGAGUAACGCGUAGGUAACCUGCCUGGUAGCGGGGGAUAACUAUUGGAAACGAUAGCUAAUACCGCAUAACAGUAGAUAUCGCAUGAUAUCUACUUGAAAGGUGCAAUUGCACCACUACCAGAUGGACCUGCGUUGUAUUAGCUAGUUGGUGAGGUAACGGCUCACCAAGGCGACGAUACAUAGCCGACCUGAGAGGGUGAUCGGCCACACUGGGACUGAGACACGGCCCAGACUCCUACGGGAGGCAGCAGUAGGGAAUCUUCGGCAAUGGACGGAAGUCUGACCGAGCAACGCCGCGUGAGUGAAGAAGGUUUUCGGAUCGUAAAGCUCUGUUGUAAGAGAAGAACGAGUGUGAGAGUGGAAAGUUCACACUGUGACGGUAUCUUACCAGAAAGGGACGGCUAACUACGUG
rnacentral:rRNA from 1 species